UUCGAAGCAACGCGAAGUAACCUUACCAGGUCUUGACAUCCCGAUGCUAUUUCUAGAGAUAGAAAGUUACUUCGGUACAUCGGUGACAGGUGGUGCAUGGUUGUCGUCAGCUCGUGUCGUGAGAUGUUGGGUUAAGUCCCGCAACGAGCGCAACCCCUAUUGUUAGUUGCCAUCAUUCAGUUGGGCACUCUAGCGAGACUGCCGGUAAUAACCGGAGGAAGGUGGGAUGACGUCAAAUCAUCAUGCCCCUUAUGACCUGGGCUACACACGUGCUACAAUGGUUGGUACAACGAGUUGCGAGUCGGUGACGGCGAGCUAAUCUCUUAAAGCCAAUCUCAGUUCGGAUUGUAGGCUGCAACUCGCCUACAUGAAGUCGGAAUCGCUAGUAAUCGCGGAUCAGCACGCCGCGGCGAAUACGUUCCCGGGCCUU
rnacentral:rRNA from 1 species